rnacentral:rRNA from 1 species
GACAGAGGUGCCGAGCGUUAGGCGGAAUUACUGGGCGUAAAGCGUGCGCAGGCGGUUCGUUAAGUUCGUUGUGAAAGCCCCGGGCUCAACCUGGGAACUGCAAUGGAAACUGGCGGGCUUGAAUGCGGCAGAGGGGGGUGGAAUUCCGCGUGUAGCAGUGAAAUGCGUAGAGAUGCGGAGGAACACCGAUGGCGAAGGCAGCCCCCUGGGCCGACAUUGACGCUCAGGCACGAAAGCGUGGGGAGCAAACAGG